rnacentral:rRNA from 1 species
ACACGUAGGGGGCAAGCGUUGUCCGGAAUUACUGGGCGUAAAGGGUGCGUAGGCGGCCAAAUAAGUCAGAUGUGAAAGUCCAGGGCUUAACCGUGGAAUCGCAUUUGAAACUGUAUGGCUUGGGUGCAGGAGAGGAGAGUGGAAUUUCUAGUGUAGCGGUGAAAUGCGUAGAUAUUAGGAAGAACACCAGUGGCGAAGGCGGCUCUCUGGACUGUAACUGACGCUGAGGCACGAAAGCGUGGGAAGCGAACAGGAUUAGAUACCCUGGUAGUCCACGCCGUAAACGAUGAGUGCUAGGUGUCGGGAGUCAAAUCUCGGUGCCGGCGCAAACGCAAUAAGCACUCCGCCUGGGGAGUACGGUCGCAAGACUUAA